rnacentral:rRNA from 1 species
ACGAACUGUGCGAACGUUAUUCGGAAUCACUGGGCUUACAGGGUGCGUAGGCGGCUUGUUAAGUAGGGUGUGAAAUCCCCCGGCCCAACCGGGGAAUUGCGCUCUAAACUGGCAGGCUUGAGUAAGCUAGGGGUGCACGGAACUUCCAGUGGAGCGGUGAAAUGUGUUGAUAUUGGAAGGAACACCGGAGGCGAAAGCGGUGCACUGGGGCUUAACUGACGCUGAGGCACGAAAGCCAGGGGAGCGAACGGG